GAAUGGGUGUCGGAUGUAACCCAACAAGGACGGCAGCAGCAAUGCGAGAACAGCUCGCAAACUACUUCACUACAGAUGGCAGAGUACCGUGGCAAGACAAGUACAUCUUGAGGGCAUAGGGGAUACUGACACGUCAGUUCGCAGGUGCCGAGGCAGCUCCUUGAGCCUCCAACCAAUGGCUAUCCCGUGGCUCAUGCAAAUGUCGUCCCCUUUCUGGUGCAGACUAUCCAACUUCGUUGCACAGACAUCCAGCGUCUUCUGAAUUGUGUCAUCCAUAUCCAUGUCACCAGUAGCCUUCUCUUUCCUGACAAGUGUUUCACAUCUCGUGGAGUACACGACACCACUUUCUCUGCAUCACAUCAUUCUCAGUGUGUUACCUUUGUGCAU